AUACAAGAAGCUGGCUGGAUUGAUGAGGGAGAGGAAAAUUCUAGGAAUAUACAGCAGUAAGAUUAAAAAGAACAAAAAUAAAACAUACUGCAUGAAACUUAAGAAGAAAAUGUCUGAAAAGUGAAGAGGCCAGUGAGGAAUUACAUAAAUGUGAACUGGAAAGACAUCUAAAACAAGAAUCACAGCAGAAUGAAACAACUAAAGAUGAUAAUGAAGAACAAAUAGCUAAAACUUUCAGAAAAUAUGCUUGGUUGGAUGCUUGUGGCUUACUACAAGAGAUAAUAAAAUGCACUCUCCUGUGCUAGAAAAAUAUUUGAACUGAUUCAGCAGAGUAAAGAAAAAUCUGUGUGCAAAAUUUUAAAAAAUCAUUUACAUCUGGUAUAAGGGUGUAAUAUAAAGUCAACACUAGAUGGCAUUGCUGUUUGAUAUUUGGAAAAAUACAGUUAAUUUCUGUGUUCUGCUACCAGUGAUGAAUAUAAGUUAAUGUGUAUUUGUAAUUUCUCUCUUAAAAAAAAAAAAAAAAUUUGAACUGAAUUCAAGAUCUUUCAUCAAACAGCCUUCAACAAUUGGUGGCCAUAGAAAUUUGAACCCGUGCACUUGGGGAGAAAGGUGCCUCAUGGUAUGAAGGAGGAAAUGUUCACAAUAUUUCUUAAGUGACUCUCAGUGCAUUAUUUAGAUGCUAGUGUGACAAGAGUGAGCUCCCACACUCGCUCCAGCUCUUGCCAACCUAGCAAUUCGAAAGUAUGCAAAUGCGAGUAAAUAGGUACAGCUUCGGUGGGAAGGUAACAGUGUUCUGUGAUUGUCAUGCUGGCCACAUGACCAUGGAAAUGUCUUCAGACAAUGCUGGCUCUUCAGCUGUGAAACAGAGAUGAGCACCACCUCCUAGUGUUGGAUGCAACUAAACAGGAACCUUUACCUUUUUACCUUUAUGAGCAGAUAAAACAUUUCUGAUGAAACAUACAUUUUAUCAUCUAAGGAGAAUCCAACAUUCUUGUCCAGCCACAGCAAGGUAUGUACAGAGAAUAAAGCUCCUAGCCCAUCAUAUCAGAGAAUUCAUCUUGAGAUCUUUAGUAGGAUUUAGGAUUCUUGUGAAGGUGAUAAUAGGACCAUCGCAUGUUCCAUGGAAGAAGAGCAAGACAGAAGUGUAUUCAUAAAAAACUAAAUAAAGCAAUAUUCUUUUUUACUCUGGUUGAAUGAUCUCUUUCAAAAUUGCAUGAUACAUGAACAUAACGUUUUAGCAGCUCUGAUAAGCUGUGUACAUAUUUGACCACAUGCAGGGGAAGAGCAGGAGUAAAGGGCAAACAUUUUAGACUGCAGUCCUUUCCCCUGGAUACAGCAGGUCUGUGCAGUGAUUAAAUCACCUUUUCUUUUUAGAAUCUAGACUGCCAAAUUUUAAUCCCACAGGAGUAAUUGGUCCUGGAUUUUGGACACCUUCUGUAAGUUAGCCCAUUUGAGGUACCUUGGUUCAAAAACUGUUGCCCUAUGAUGCGCUGUUUUGCCUAACUGAGGGUUACAAACAGACAGAGUUUUCGUACUAUAUAGAUGAGAUUGAGUAUGUGUUUAGGAGGGAGAAAUUUGGUCAAUUAUUACUCAUUAUUAAGAUACAUUCCUUGCUUUGGGCUUAGCAAAGCAAACUCUGCGCUGGCUUCGGAGAGCUGCCAUCUCUUUCCAAAGGCUCUGAAAAGAGAGCGUAAGCUUCCGAAGGGAGCCACGUGGAGGAAACAUUCUCUGGAGAAGCUGGGUCCGAAAAGGACUCAGCAAAGACAGUAAGGUGCUUCUGCUUCACCAGUGGCAGCUGGGUGAAAAAGUUGAAAGUGCCGUCAUAAUUCUGAACAGUUGCUGAACAAAUGGUCGUUGACUGAAGACUACCUGUACUGCAUCUAUUUGGGGAAUACUGCUUCCGCCUCAGUUACUACUGUCUUGAUUUGUGGGAUUUAUCUCUUUAGACUUCAAGAGCCAGUACACAUGCUAGAAGAAAAAGCAAAAAAAAAAGUGGAGGGCAUCUUAGCUUCCUUCCUUCCUUCCUUCCUUGAUUUAUUGAUAUGGCCAUCCAACUACCAAUCUAGAAAUGGGUGAAACCAAUGCCCAAGAUGGAUCUGUGCAAAGUCCCUCCUGACCAGAGCACUACUGGGUCUUCCAGCAGGAGACGAAAGAACCUCUACAUUGUACACCAGUUCUGUCUGGAGGAGUACAUACCCAUCUGAACAAAAAGAGGAGAGUCUCCAGAACUGAGGAACCUCAAAACCUACAGCACUCAGUCUUGCUUGGCUUGAGCUGAAGCCUGUUCUUCCCAAUCCAGACCACCUCCAAUCACUGGGAAACAACACUGACAGCACUACUUGGGCAGCCUAAGAAGAGAUGUACAACUGGGUAUUAUCAUCAUAUUGACAAUACCUGACUCCAUAAUGAGACCUCGCCUAGCUGUUUCAUGUAGAUGUUAAAUAGGACCAGGAGUAGAGCCCUGAUGUACCCCACAAAAAACAGAAUCUUGGACUAGAUCU